CGACCAAGAGGAACAUUGUGAGUGGCAGCUACUGCAACUAAUUAUCUGAGCAGGCCUGCUUGAAGAUUUUUUGUGGGCUGGGAAGGCAAGAUGUCGGGCAUCCUGAGCACGACGCUAGGAGUGCUUGACAGUGACUCGCACUGCAACUUGACCCUGUACCGGGACCAGAAGUUUCAGAACAGAGAAGAGCAGGAGAAUGCUCUGAAGACUUCUAGCACACUUUAUGUGGGCAAUUUGUCCUUCUACACCACAGAGGAGCAAAUCCAUGAGCUCUUUUCUAAGUGUGGGGAUGUCAAGCGCAUCAUCAUGGGGCUCGACAAGGUGAAGAAAACCCCUUGUGGUUUCUGCUUUGUGGAAUACUACACUAGAGCAGAAGCUGAGCAUUGUAUGCGGUUUAUCAAUGGAACCCGGUUGGAUGACCGCGUCAUUAAAACAGACUGGGAUGCUGGGUUCCAAGAAGGACGGCAAUUUGGCCGUGGGAAGACAGGUGGCCAGAUGCACGAUGAAUAUCGUAGAGAUUAUGAUGUGGGAAGAGGAGGCUUUGGCAAGAUUAUUCAGAUGCAGAAGACAAAUCAGCAGACAGUCAUCUACUAGCAGCUUCUUGGAUUGAGGGUAUUUUGGGAAAAGUGAGGCCUUGCACACAAGUAGCAAGAUGCUGCAGAAAGCCAUGACAAACUUUGGCAAAAAGUUGAUCCGGCGACGUGUGCUGGACCUGAGCUCAGAAGAGACCCGUUUUGCCCGUUGCCUCUCCACCGUGGGACUGGUAGAACUUGGAGGCCGGAGUAGCACCCUGGGGGACGGAUGUUAUAUGUAAGCUUGGCAGGGCUGGGCGUGAAGGAUGCUGACACAUAUACAUUGUGCUCUGCUUCUUCAUUGCGGCUGUCUCAUCAAUUCUUGCUGGGCUGUGCUAUGCAGAGUUUGGAGCCAGGGUUCCGAAGGCUGGUUCGGCCUAUCUCUACAGCUUUGUGACUGUCGGGGAGAUCUGGGCCUUUACCACAGGAUGGAACCUCAUCCUAUCGUAUGUGAUAGGUACGGCAAGUGUUGCUCGUGCCUGGAGCUCUGCCUUUGACAACAUCAUUGGCAAUCACAUCUCCACCUUCUUCCGGAACAGCACUGCCCUGCACUUGGAGAACGUGCUGGCUGAAUAUCCUGACUUCUUUGCCCUCUUCCUGGUGUUGCUGCUGACAGGCUUGCUAGCAUUUGGUGUGAGUGAAUCUGCGCUAGUGAACAAAAUCUUCACUGCAAUCAACCUGCUGGUCCUCAGCUUUGUCAUCAUCUCUGGCUUUGUGAAGGGCGAUGUCAAGAACUGGAGUGUGACUGAGGAGUAUUAUCAGAACCGGUCGCAAGAAGCUCUGAAGACUGGAAUCACGGCCGGCAAUUUUGGGUCAGGUGGCUUUUUCCCCUUUGGUUUCAAGGGGGUCCUCACUGGUGCUGCAACUUGUUUCUAUGCCUUUGUUGGAUUUGACUGCAUCGCAACCACAGGUGAGGAGGCUCGCAACCCCCAGCGCUCCAUCCCCAUCAGCAUCAUUGUCUCCCUUCUCAUCUGCUUUGUGGCCUACUUUGGGGUUUCUGCUGCCUUGACCCUGAUGGUACCCUACUUCCUGGUGAACAAGGAGAGCCCCCUGCCUGAGGCUUUCAAGGAUGUGGGGUGGGAGCCUGCCCGUUAUGUCGUGGCCAUUGGCUCACUCUGCGCCCUCAGCGCAAGUUUGCUCGGCUCCAUGUUCCCAAUGCCGCGAGUCAUAUAUUCCAUGGCUGAAGAUGGGCUCCUCUUUACGUGGCUGUCCCGGGUGCACAGCCGCACCAAGACUCCCUUGGUGGCUACCGUUGUGUCGGGCAUCAUAUCUGCCUUGAUGGCAUUCCUGUUUGAGCUGAAGGCCCUGGUAGACCUCAUGUCAAUUGGCACCUUGUUGGCAUACUCACUGGUAGCUGUUUGCGUUCUCAUCCUCAGAUACCAGCCUGAGAUCGGCAGCUCUUCCAAGGACGUGGAGAUGUUGGAGGUGAAUGGAAGUGAAGAAGAGAAGGUGAUAAUGAAUUCAUCAGUCAACAGCAAUCAGACUAGACUCAAAGAGAAGUUCACCUGGGGGAGCCUUUUCUGCCCUUCUGGGGAGUUCCCAACCAACAUUUCGGGACGCACUGUUUACAUCUGCACCACAAUUGUUUCUGUCGUGAUCGCUGUCCUGUGCGGGUUCCUGGCACAGAAGCGGGAAGCACUCAUGGAUGGCAGCAUUGGUUGGACUGUGGCAUGUGCACUUCUCCUGGGUAUUUCUGUGAUUUUUGCAAUUAUCAUCUGGAGGCAGCCAGAAAGCAAGAAGCGCCUCACUUUCAAGGUGCCUGCCCUGCCGUUGCUCCCUCUUUUCAGUAUCUUUGUGAAUAUCUAUCUCAUGAUGCAGCUGGAUGCAGGCACAUGGGCCCGCUUUGGUGUCUGGAUGGCCAUAGGCUUUGCCAUCUACUUUGGUUAUGGGAUCCGGCACAGUGUAGAAGCACAGACCACUCGGCAAUCACAGUUAACGACAAACAAGCCUCUGAAUUCUGCCAGCUCUGACCCGAGUCCAGAUACAACUAUCUGAGAGAAGGAGGUGAUGGUUCUCCAGUUGCCCUGCCCUCCACACGACAGCUGUCUUUGAGCUCUUGCCUGUCUCCUGCCCUUCCACAUAACAAGCAGGAGAGGGAAAGAUCCUGGGCACAUUGCUUCCCCUUGUACACUGCAGUAAACCCAAACAAGGUUAUCCUGCUGAGGAGACAAAGCAAGCACCAACCUGAAGGGCAAGGGGGGCAGAUGCAAAGCACUGCAGCCCUCUUGCCCUUGGAAAAAGCUGACCGGCAGGCAAACUGCCAUAUAUACCUGAUGUCUGUAUUUAUUGUCUGGCCAUACAGUUGCCUUUCUUUUGUAGUAAGAAGCAUGUGUGUAUGUAAGGUGAUUAGAGGUCAAAAAAAUGGGGUCCCAGUGUGCUUUGGUUGUAAGUUUUUGCUUUCCUUUUAACUUUCUUUGUAUUUUUUUUGUCAGAAAUGUUUGUGUUUUAUAUGAUUAAAAAUCCAAAUAACUUUUUUCAUAAAAAUAAGGAAGGUUGAUCUGUCUUA